rnacentral:sRNA from 1 species
UCAUUAUCACCGCCAUUCCAGCACUGGCGGGCUAGCGUUCAUCUGCACCCCACCCGCCUCCGAGGCGGGU